rnacentral:rRNA from 1 species
GAUGAACGCUGGCGGCGUGCCUAAUACACGCAAGUCGAGCGAACAGACGAGGAGCUUGCUUCUCUGACGUUAGCGGCGGACGGGUGAGUAACACGUGGAUAACCUACCUAUAAGACUGGGAUAACUUCGGGAAACCGGAGCUAAUACCGGAUAAUAUUUUGAACCGCAUGGUUCAAUAGUGAAAGACGGUCUUGCUGUCACUUAUAGAUGGAUCCGCGCCGCAUUAGCUAGUUGGUAAGGUAACGGCUUACCAAGGCAACGAUGCGUAGCCGACCUGAGAGGGUGAUCGGCCACACUGGAACUGAGACACGGUCCAGACUCCUACGGGAGGCAGCAGUAGGGAAUCUUCCGCAAUGGGCGAAAGCUUGACGGAGCAACGCCGCGUGAGUGAUGAAGGUCUUCGGAUCGUAAAACUCUGUUAUUAGGGAAGAACAAAUGUGUAAGUAACUAUGCACGUCUUGACGGUACCUAAUCAGAAAGCCACGGCUAACUACGUG